CGUCGCGCCGCGGUGGCCAUCCAGGCUCCUUCCCCGGCUCCCCAGAGCCAGCCCCCCGCUCGGGAUUGGUCCUGUUCAGGACGCUGAGGGACACUAGGCUCUGGUGGCGGAGCCAGAAGCAGACAGACAGCGGGGUUUGCCACGGCCCUGUGGGUCAGAUCUGCUGCUCAUCACAGCUCACAGAGGCUGUGCGACCCAGAUGUCUGCGCCCCGGGACACCCACGAGCCUGCUCCAGUGCCUGCCACUCGGCGCGCCUAGCCUGGCCGCACAGCGAGCUCCCCAGGCGGCCUCCCGACUGAGCUGUGGUAAAAGAGACUGUUGACAACCGAAGCCCAGUGCGGAGGCGCUGCAAGAGCACACUGAACCAACAGUUCUUCCUAGCACCUGCUCCAUGGUAGGUGACUCACUGCACCCCCACAAGCCCUUCUCUUUUGCAUAGGUUAAGCUACAGUUUCUUUCAGAAUUAUGGUUGAUGCUACUCCUGUCUCUCAUGAGCUCUGUAUUGCAAAUCUGACGGUAUCUAGUGUCACUUGACCGUCGCUUAGCAAGACAUCCAGAGAUAGAUUUCAGAGUGUCUGUGAACUCUAACAUAGAUGCAAAUUGUAUGGUGUACUUUUUCCUGGUCAUGGAUUUUGUUAGUGUCUCAAAGGAGUCUAUAAGCCCAGAACAAUCACUAAUUAGUGACUUAAAUUUCCUUAGCCAGUAAAGGAGCUUUUGCC
rnacentral:lncRNA from 1 species